UCCGGAGGGUGCAAUCGUUAUCCGGAAUCACUGGGUUUAAAGGGUGCGUAGGCGGCUUAGUAAGUCAGGAGUGAAAGCCUGCGGCUUAACCGUAGAAUUGCUUUUGAUACUGCUGAGCUUGAAUUAGGUUGAGGUUGGCGGAAUGUGACAUGUAGCGGUGAAAUGCAUAGAUAUGUCAUAGAACACCAAUUGCGAAGGCAGCUGACUAGACCUUAAUUGACGCUGAGGCACGAAAGCGUGGGGAGCGAACAGG
rnacentral:rRNA from 1 species